rnacentral:rRNA from 1 species
CACGGAAUUAGCCGGUCCUUAUUCAUGUGGUACCUGCAAUGCAUGACACGUCACGCACUUUGUCCCCACAUAAAAGCAGUUUACAACCCAUAGGGCCGUCAUCCUGCACGCUACUUGGCUGGUUCAGGCUCUCGCCCAUUGACCAAUAUUCCUCACUGCUGCCUCCCGUAGGAGUUUGGACCGUGUCUCAGUUCCAAUGUGGGGGACCUUCCUCUCAGAACCCCUACUGAUCGUAGCCUUGGUGGGCCGUUACCCCGCCAACAAGCUAAUCAGACGCAUCCCCAUCCAUAACCGCUAAACCUUUAAUCGUUAUUUGAUGUCAGCAAACGAUAUCAUACGGUAUUAGGCCGUCUUUCAACGGGUUAUCCCGUAGUUAUGGGAAGGUUGGAUACGCGUUACUCACCCGUGCGCCAGUCGUCAUCAAGGAAAGCAAGCUUUACCUCAUGUUACCCUGCGACUUGCAUGUGUUAAGCCUGUAGCUAGCGUUCAUCCUGAGCCAGGAUACC